AGGUCUCAUAAGCCUCCUGAACCUCAAUAAACCUCUUGGUAUACUCCUCUGUAUGUUCCUGCGGUGACACAUCAGGAUGGUACUUCCUUGCCAGUUGCUUAUAAGCUUUCUUGAUUUCUGAGAGCGGAACACUCUCUGAGAUGCCCAACAGAUCGUAGAAACUCACAGUCUCUGGGUUAACAUAGACGCUAUCAGCCACAGCGGCCUUAAUUGGACUGGCUCUAACAGAUUUGGAAUGAGUUUUGAGAGAAAAGCUUGAUUCUGGGAAAUGGGUAGUGAAGGUUAGGUGAGAAGAAGGAUCAAACAUGGACUUUGUGGCUGAGAUAUUGGGUGAUUUGCAGAUAUGUAAGCUAGCUUGGGUUCCGGCUGAGAUAAUUCCGUGAUUCAUUUCUGAGUUCUUGCUUAACCCCUGUUUUCAAGCAUAUGAUCGAUGCUGU
rnacentral:misc_RNA from 1 species